AAGAUCCACUAGAGAGCGAAGAGCAUGAACUAAGAGUAGUGUUGCAAUUGCUGGCACAAGUGAAAGAAGAAACGGAAGAUGAAGAAGUUGUAGGUGAAGAAGGAGAUGGGGAUAUUUUGCUUGAGGGAGAAAUGAUGGGAGUUGUAAGGGUUAAUUUUGAAGGUUGAGAGAUUGCAAGCUUUUCUUGAACAUUGUUGAAAUCUUGCAUGGAGUGUUUCUUGGGUUUGCAUUUGCUCAUGCAACAUCCCAUUGUUAGGAAUUGAAAAGGAUGAGGAAGCACAGGAGAACAGGAGCAUAGGCUUAGGGAGCACGGUUAUGGGAAUUGUUGUAGCCUCGAUAGUUG
rnacentral:misc_RNA from 1 species